CCUAACCCUAAAUUAAAACACACAGAUCACACCACACACUCUCCACUCUCCAGAGGGCUGCACUCACCCACGCUCACGCCCGUAACCUCAAAACUCUCCACUCUUCGCCGGCGACGGACAACUUCACAGUCGCAACGCCGUUCAGCAUCAUAGUUCGCAACCACACACUUCCCCUGCUCCUCGGUUUUGCCGUCGCCGUCGUGCUCCGUUCGUCUCCAUCCAACCUCUAUCCGUCGUCCCUCCAUUUCCAGCUUCGUGUCUCACCGUCGUGUCUGGUGUUCGGAUUUUUCGUCCUCCCUUAGUCUCGAGUCUCAGGAAUUUGGCCAUUUGAAGUGAACCUUUGCGUUACCACAUCCAUUGUUGAUGUCACCACAUCCAUUGUUGAUGAAGAUGACGAUUGUGAAUCUGUUGGAGAGAAUGAGAUGCCAAAAGAUGAUGAUUGUUCGGAUGAGAGCCAAGAUGCAUGCAUAUGCAUGGGAGAGAUAAACUGAUACUAUUAUUAAUUUUUUGAAUUAAUUUUUCGUU